rnacentral:rRNA from 1 species
GAUGAACGCUGGCGGCGUGCCUAAUACAUGCAAGUCGAGCGAAUGGAUUAAGAGCUUGCUCUUAUGAAGUUAGCGGCGGACGGGUGAGUAACACGUGGGUAACCUGCCCAUAAGACUGGGAUAACUCCGGGAAACCGGGGCUAAUACCGGAUAACAUUUUGAACCGCAUGGUUCGAAAUUGAAAGGCGGCUUCGGCUGUCACUUAUGGAUGGACCCGCGUCGCAUUAGCUAGUUGGUGAGGUAACGGCUCACCAAGGCAACGAUGGGUAGCCGGCCUGGGAAGGGUAUCGACCACACUGAGACGCAAACACGGCCCAGACUCCGACGUGAGGAAGCAGUAGGGAAUCUUCCGCAAUGGACGAAAGUCGGACGGAGCAACGCGGCGUGAGUGAUGAAGGAUUUCGGGUCGUAAAACUCUGUUGUUAGGGAAGAACAAGUGCUAGUUGAAUAAGCUGGCACCUUGACGGUACCUAACCAGAAAGCCACGGCUAACUACGUGCCAGCCGCCGCCGUAA